UACGUAGGGGGCAAGCGUUGUCCGGAUUUAUUGGGCGUAAAGAGCGUGUAGGCGGCCAGGCAGGUCCGUUGUGAAAACUAGAGGCUUAACCUCUAGACGUCGAUGGAAACCGUCUGGCUAGAGUCCGGAAGAGGAGAAUGGAAUUCCUGGUGUAGCGGUGAAAUGCGCAGAUAUCAGGAAGAACACCCGUGGCUAAGGCGGUUCUCUAGUACGGUACUGACGCUGAGACGCGAAAGCGUGGGGAGCGAACAGG
rnacentral:rRNA from 1 species